rnacentral:rRNA from 1 species
GGUUUUUUGGAGUUAAAUAAAAAAUCAGACCUGCCCACUGAUGAAGGGCUGCAGUAUUUUGACUGUACAAAGGUAGCAUAAUCAUUAGUCUUUUAAUUGGAGACUGGUAUGAAAGGUUAGACGGAAAUAAUCUAUCUUAAGUGUAAUAGUGAAUUUUAUUUUUAAGGAAAAGAGCUUAAAUAUAACAGUGGGACGAGAAGACCCUAUUAAAUUUAAUAUAUUUAUUUACUUUUAAUUGAAUGAAAAUGUUAGAUUUUUAUUAAUUUUGCUGGGGCGGCAAAUAAGAAACUUUAUUUAUAUUUAAUAUGGUGAGUAACGAAUUUUUGAUCCAAAUGGAUUGAUAUAAGACAUAAUUACUAUAGGGAUAACAGCGUAAUAUUUUUUAAGAGUUCUUAUUGACAAAAGUGUUUGCGACCUCGAUGUUGGAUUAAGAAGUCUUAUUGGUGCAGAAGUUUUUGGAGAGGGUCUGUUCGACCUUUAAAUUCUU